rnacentral:rRNA from 1 species
UACGGGGGGGGCAAGCGUUGUUCGGAAUUACUGGGCGUAAAGGGCUCGUAGGUGGCCAACUAAGUCAGACGUGAAAUCCCUCGGCUUAACCGGGGAACUGCGUCUGAUACUGGAUGGCUUGAGUUUGGGAGAGGAAAGUGGAAUUCCUGGUGUAGCGGUGAAAUGCGUAGAUAUCAGGAGGAACACCGGUGGUGUAAACGGCUUUCUGGACCAUAACUGACGCUGAGGCACGAAAGCGUGGGUAGCAAACAGG